CCAUAAAAUCACAACACAGACCCAUUUAGAAAAAGCGAAAAGAAAAUGGCAGGAGUAACGUUAGGAGCCUCAAUGGUUCCCAUCACUGCACUCUUAGUAGUGUUGAUUUCUCUAAGUUUCCCGUUCUUUAGUGCAGCUGAUGGUUACUAUAGUUACAAGUCACCACCGCCUCCAACCCCGGUCUACAAAUCACCCCCACCACACACCCCAGUCUACAUGUACAAAUCCCCAUCGCCGCCAAUCCCUGUUUACAAAUUACUACCACCACCCACCCCUGUCUACAAGUACAAAUCCCCACCACCGCCAACCCCAGUCUACAAAUCACCACCACCACCCACCCCAAUCUACAAGUACAAAUCCCCACCGCCGCCAACCCCGGUCUACAAAUCACCCACCACCACCCACCCCGGUUUACAAGUACAAAUCACCACCACCACCGACCCCGGUCUACAAAUCACCAUCACCACACACCCCAAUCUAUAAGUACAAAUCCCCACCACCACCAACCCCUGUCUACAAAUCACCACCACCACCCACCCCAGUAUACCAGUCUCCACCUCCUCCCACCCCAGUCUACAAGUACAAAUCUCCACCACCACCACCCACUCCAGUCUACAAAUACACAUCCCCUCCUCCUCAUUACUAAAGUGUCCCCGAGUUUCAUGCUCAUAUAUAUUGUUAAAAAUAUUUACAACAAUAAGCAAUUAUACACGCAUCUUCACUGAAGGCUAAAUAAUGUUGUACUAGUGGUUUUUCGUUUCUCUAGUCUGUAGUUCUUGCAUGUUAUGUAACUUCGAUUGCAUUUCUUCAUAAGAGGACCAAUGUAUUUCGGUAUUUCCCUUAUAUAUAAUCUUUUAAUAAAAUUACUUUUCUGUCAAACUUUUGUUUGUAUCAAUUCACAUAUAUCAUCUUCAAAAGUCUUAUUCUAAUCGCGCUAGCAGUGGCUUCCUAUAGAGAGAAGUUAUAAUGGGUGUUUUUACACUCCCAUUUCGAUUUUAUGUUUUAAAGGCUUGAAGUAAAGCAUGUUUGUCAUUGAUAGUUAAACAAAUUUCUUGCAGUUUGGGUUAUAUCUUACUCAUGGCAAUAUAAUGAUGCACUACUGCCGGCUCCUCCAGUGCAGUUUAGCCAAAAAUGCAUGAUAUCUACUCCCCAUUACAACCAGUAUUUCAUGCGCAUCACCCUAUUUCACAGUUCAUGCAGGGAAGGAAGGAAAAUAAAACAGAAGCGAAGAAGAAAACGAAAGAAGAAAAGGGAAGAAUGAACUUCUCCUCGAGGUGAAUUCGGUAUAAUCUAAUGACUUCAUACCAAGGCACCGGGGAUAUUAGAUAUGGGAAGACGCUAGGUGAUUAUAGAAGAUACUUGGAUGCCUUGGUAACGUUUUUAUAUGAAAUGACCAUUUUACCCUUCAUCCAUCUCAGAUGAUUUCUUCUCCUUCGGGUAUUCAGAAGACACGCUCAUGUAUUCCAUUUCGCAUAACUUUUCGAGAACUAUCUAAUGGUACUAGUUUCAUAACCAAAUUAUUGAUUUGACAGGGUCCUUAAUUUCCUUGAUUGUUGAAUUCUGAGGUUGUUAAUUGCGGUUUUGCUAAUAAAAGUUCGUACCCUGGUUAUUGAACAUCCUCCGAUCCAGACUAUUGGAGUACAAACUAGCGUUGGAGAAGCCAUAUAUUGGCUAUUGGCUGCUGCGAAAAAGCCAUUUGAUGUUCAAAAUGUAUAUCAAAGCAGAGACAACAUAGCCAAAAGCUGCAAGACUGUCAAAUAAACUCUUAUCUUUGUUGAAAUAAGCGUGUAAGGUUAAGUUACCUUUUGUCCGGUUAUGCAGUUACUUCUUCAGAUGCGUUUGAUAUUCCUUGGUUUUGGGUGCAAAAUGUCUUUCCAUAGUGUCCCAGACUUCUUUUGAUGUGUCUAGGCCAGUGACUUUGCCAACGACUUCUAAUAAGAAAGAUAGCAGAAAACCAAGAAAGAUUGCGUCUUCCUCUUCGUAAUUUGUAAAUUCAGGAUUGAUUUCUUCAUAUUCAGGAAGUGUACUUGGGGAAUUCAGGAUUGAUUUCUUCAUAUUCAGGAAGUGUACUCGGGGAUUUCACUUUUGAUC